GAUAUAAAAUGCCACAGAAACUCCUCCAUCUCGUCUUCAAUCCUGUUUUAUACCUGUGGAGGAACUUUGCUACAUUGAAGCUUUGAACCAAUGACUGAA